rnacentral:tRNA from 1 species
AGUAAGAUGCCUGAUAAAAGGAUCACUUUGAUAGAGUGGGUCAUGUAAAUUAUAUUUACUCUUAUUA